GAAUGUAGUUUCAAAUUAUGCCUA
rnacentral:siRNA from 1 species